rnacentral:rRNA from 1 species
CCUACGGGGGUCAGCAGUGGGGAAUAUUGGACAAUGGGGGGAACCCUGAUCCAGCCAUGCCGCGUGUGUGAAGAAGGCCCUCGGGUUGUAAAGCACUUUCAGUGAGGAAGAACGCCUGGUGGUUAAUACCCAUCAGGAAAGACAUCACUCACAGAAGAAGCACCGGCUAACUCCGUGCCAGCAGCCGCGGUAAUACGGAGGGUGCGAGCGUUAAUCGGAAUUACUGGGCGUAAAGCGCGCGUAGGUGGCUUGAUAAGCCGGUUGUGAAAGCCCCGGGCUCAACCUGGGAACGGCAUCCGGAACUGUCAAGCUAGAGUGCAGGAGAGGAAGGUAGAAUUCCCGGUGUAGCGGUGAAAUGCGUAGAGAUCGGGAGGAAUACCAGUGGCGAAGGCGGCCUUCUGGACUGACACUGACACUGAGGUGCGAAAGCGUGGGUAGCAAACAGGAUUAGAUACCCGGGUAGUC